rnacentral:rRNA from 1 species
UACGUAGGGGGCAAGCGUUGUCCGGAAUCAUUGGGUGUAAAGCGCGUGUAGGCGGCUCGAUAAGUCUGCUGUGAAAGUUCAGGGCUCAACCCUGAAAUGCCGGUGGAAACUGUCGGGCUAGAGUCCGGAAGAGGCGAGUGGAAUUCCUGGUGUAGCGGUGAAAUGCGCAGAUAUCAGGAGGAACACCAAUGGCGAAGGCAGCUCGCUGGGACGGUACUGACGCUGAGACGCGAAAGCGUGGGGAGCAAACAGG